CAUCCUUCUAGGCAUCUGUGUGUUUGCUAGAGGGGAAGAAAUAGUGUUUCCAGCCUGGGGUCAGAGGCUGGUGGUAGCCAGGAGAGGUGGUGGCAGGAACUGCCCCAAUUCCAGGCUAGAGAUGAACCAGCUGUGAUGGGGAUGGGGACUCUUCCGGAGCAGGAACAGUCAGGGCCUGGUCCUAUCCUGCCCGGGCAUGGACACGUCAGAGGCUUUAUCGUAAAUUGGGGAAAGCUUCAUGACACUACCUCCCACCCUGGCCUACUCCUGUUCUCACAUGGGGCUGUGAAAAUGACCAAUUUUUAAAAAUAUUAGAGAUGGAGUUGAUGGAAAUAUUCAAGCCAAAAGAAUGGUGACACCUCAACAGCUGACGUGCUGGGAGAAGGCUCCAGGGCCAGGGGCUCUCCUGGCCUCUGCGGAUGUCUGACUGGGCCACAGCCUACCUCCUACGCCCAGGUCUGGCCUCAACUUCUUGGUAACUAUAGCCAACCAGAAAUACCACCCAUAUUUUUCUCUGUGAUGGGGCUGCCUUGGGGAUGCCGAAGAGCAGUUUCUGAGCAGGGACACGACAUUUCUGUUGCUUUGUGGCUGACCUGGUCGGCACCUCAGGGUCUGAGAUACAGAUUCCAGUCACAAGCUGGUGGGCCAUUUAUACAAUCUGGUGGGGUAUAGCGCAGCAUUAUACACCAAGCCCCUAAACCUGGGUGAAGCAGAUCAUAUGUGAAAUGCACUGCAGAGGAACCCAGAUCAAACUGCCCUGAGGCCUAAGAGGGAAGCGCUCAGAAAAGGAGGGG
rnacentral:lncRNA from 1 species